GGACCCGCACAAGUAGUGGAGCAUGUGGUUUAAUUCGAAGAUACGCGCAGAACCUUACCAACACUUGACAUGUUCGUCGCGACUCUAAGAGAUUAGAGUUUUCGGUUCGGCCGGACGAAACACAGGUGCUGCAUGGCUGUCGUCAGCUCGUGUCGUGAGAUGUUGGGUUAAGUCCCGCAACGAGCGCAACCCUCACUUUUAGUUGCCAUCAUUUAGUUGGGCACUCUGAAAGAACUGCCAGUGAUAAGCUGGAGGAAGGUGGGGAUGACGUCAAGUCCUCAUGGCCCUUAUGUCCAGGGCUGCACGCAUGCUACAAUGGCAAGUACAACGAGUCGCAAUACCGCGAGGUGGAGCAAAUCUCUUAAAGCUUGUCUCAGUUCGGAUAGGAGUCUGCAACUCGACUCCUUGAAGUUGGAGUCGCUAGUAAUCG
rnacentral:rRNA from 1 species